UGAGCAAUCUGCCCUUCUCUUCGGAAUAAGCGUUGGAAACGACGUCUAAUGCCGAAUACGACCUCCUUUCGCAUGAUCGGAGGUGGAAAGCUCCGGCGGAGAAGGAUGAGCUCGCGGCCUAUCAGCUAGUUGGUGUGGGUAAUGGCCCACAAGGCUUCGGACGGGUAGCUGGUCUGAGAGGACGAUCAGCCACACUGGGACUGAGACACGGCCCAGACU
rnacentral:rRNA from 1 species